CUUUUCCAUAGAUGUUGCUUGGCCUGCUGAGUUCCUCCAGCAUUUUUGUCAGGUGAGAUUACCCAAAACUUCAGGGUAGUAUUUGCAGGAAGACUUACUUCAUGGCAACGUGAUAGCCUUCUACAAGUUAAAAAUACAUGGAGCUUGUUAAGGAUGAAGAAGUAUCUUUAACAGUGUGGGGAAAAUCACUUAAAUAAAUCAUCUCCACUGCAGAAAGCAGAGCCUUUCAAAAUCAUUAGUUGGAAAGAUUGGAAGUACAUUCAAGGCCAUAAAGAGGUUUUCAUGGGAUCUUGACAGAUGCAACAUUGACAAGAUGUCUCCUCCUGUGGAAGAAUUUAGAAUGAAGGAACCACCAUUGAAUUAUAAAAGAUAACGGGUGUCUAAUUUGACUAAAAUGAACUGAAGUUAUGGAGGAAAAAGGAACUAGUGCUUUCCCAGAGAAUAUGACGAAUAAACUCUUCUUGGGCUUCCAGCCAGGUACAGGUAUCGAUUACAACCAAUGUUUCAGUUACAAACUCUGCCA